UACGGAGGGGGCUAGCGUUGUUCGGAAUUACUGGGCGUAAAGCGCACGUAGGCGGCUUUGUAAGUUAGAGGUGAAAGCCCAGGGCUUAACCCUGGAAUUGCCUUUAAGACUGCAUCGCUAGAAUUGUGGAGAGGUGAGUGGAAUUCCGAGUGUAGAGGUGAAAUUCGUAGAUAUCAGGAGGAACACCUAUAGCGAAGGCAGCUCGCUGGGACGACACUGACGCUGAGACGCGAAAGCGUGGGGAGCGAACAGG
rnacentral:rRNA from 1 species